rnacentral:rRNA from 1 species
GACGAACGCUGGCGGCGUGCUUAACACAUGCAAGUCGAACGAAGAGCGAUGGACGCUUGCUUCUAUCAAUCUUAGUGGCGAACGGGUGAGUAACGCGUAAUCAACCUGCCCUUCAGAGGGGGACAACAGUUGGAAACGACUGCUAAUACCGCAUACGAUCUAAUCUCGGCAUCGAGGAUAGAUGAAAGGUGGCCUCUACAUGUAAGCUAUCACUGAAGGAGGGGAUUGCGUCUGAUUAGCUAGUUGGAGGGGUAACGGCCCACCAAGGCGAUGAUCAGUAGCCGGUCUGAGAGGAUGAACGGCCACAUUGGGACUGAGACACGGCCCAGACUCCUACGGGAGGCAGCAGGGGGGAAUCUUCCGCAAUGGACGAAAGUCUGACGGAGCAACGCCGCGUGAGCGAUGACGGCCUUCGGGUUGUAAAGCUCGGUUAAUCGGGACGAAAGGCCUUCUUGCGAAUAGGGAGAAGGAUUGACGGUACCGGAAUAGAAAGCCACGGCUAACUACGUG